rnacentral:lncRNA from 1 species
AAAAUAUUAAUAUUCUAGUUAUUUUCUAAUUAUUCUACUAAGCUCCUACAUUAUCACCACACCCUACCAUUACCAUUACACCCCAAUAACACAUGAUUUAUUUUAAUCAAAACACCAAAUAAUCAAUUAAAAAUCUAAGUAAUUUAAUUUAAUUAAUUAAUCAAAUUUGGGGUGUUACAGUGCUCAACUAUAUAACAAUGCUCAAGUAACUCUGCGUAAGCGUUGUAGCACUGUUGGCCCACACUAUGCUCAGUUUACCCUCUAAGACCAAUCUUGCAUUGAUUU